GGUGAGCUCUAGAGUUUAUUUCUCUUGGAAGAACAGAGUCAGAACACAGAACUGUAAACAGGCAGCUACAAAGAAGCAGAAAAGAGGGUGUGGCCUGACAGAGGUGCCCAGGCAUGCACACAGCGCCACUUCAUGGCACCUUGUGCUUCCCCAUCGGGUGUAUGCCCACUGGCCGGGGCUGUGGGCGGAGCCGGGGCUGUGGGCGGAGCCUGGACUGUAGGCUGAGCAGGGGCUCUGGGCUGAGGCAGGGCUGGUAGCUGGGCUGUCGCUGUAGCUCUCCUCUGUCUGAGCUGCUCCCUCCUGGCCAUGGCCUGUAACAGCUCUCUUGCUAUAGCCCUUGACUGGGGGUGGGCUGGACAGGGCAAGUUCUGAGGAACCAGCAGGUAAGCGAAGAAACUCGGGCAGCACCAGGUCUUCCUUCCUUAGCAGCCCACGCUGGUCAUCGGCUCUGUUGCUCUGAGCUUUGGAAAUGAGCUCAAAAAAUUC
rnacentral:lncRNA from 1 species